GACGAACGCUGGCGGCGUGCUUAACACAUGCAAGUCGAACGGAAAGGCCCUGCUUUUGUGGGGUGCUCGAGUGGCGAACGGGUGAGUAACACGUGAGUAACCUGCCCUUGACUUUGGGAUAACUUCAGGAAACUGGGGCUAAUACCGGAUAGGAGCUCCUGCUGCAUGGUGGGGGUUGGAAAGUUUCGGCGGUUGGGGAUGGACUCGCGGCUUAUCAGCUUGUUGGUGGGGUAGUGGCUUACCAAGGCUUUGACGGGUAGCCGGCUUGAGAGGGUGACCGGCCACAUUGGGACUGAGAUACGGCCCAGACUCCUACGGGAGGCAGCAGUGGGGAAUAUUGCACAAUGGGCGGAAGCCUGAUGCAGCAACGCCGCGUGCGGGAUGACGGCCUUCGGGUUGUAAACCGCUUUCGCCUGUGACGAAGCGUGAGUGACGGUAAUGGGUAAAGAAGCACCGGCCAACUACGUG
rnacentral:rRNA from 1 species